GACGAACGCUGGCGGCGUGCCUAAUACAUGCAAGUUGAGCGAUGAAGAUUGGUGCUUGCACCCAUUUGAAGAGCAGCGAACGGGUGAGUAACGCGUGGGGAAUCUGCCUUUGAGCGGGGGACAACAUUUGGAAACGAAUGCUAAUACCGCAUAACAACUUUAAACAUAAGUUUUAAGUUUGAAAGAUGCAAUUGCAUCACUCAAAGAUGAUCCCGCGUUGUAUUAGCUAGUUGGUGAGGUAAAGGCUCACCAAGGCGAUGAUACAUAGCCGACCUGAGAGGGUGAUCGGCCACAUUGGGAAUGAGACACGGCCCAAACUCCUACGGGAGGCAGCAGUAGGGAAUCUUCGGCAAUGGACGAAAGUCUGAACGAGCAACGCCGCGGGAGUGAAGAAGGGUUUCGGAUCGUAAAACUCUGUUGGUAGAGAAGAACGUUGGUGAGAGUGGAAAGCUCAUCAAGUGACGGUAACUACCCAGAAAGGGACGGCUAACUACGUG
rnacentral:rRNA from 1 species